UGUUUUCUCUUAGCUACUUCAUGUAGCUAACAUAUUCUUGCUUUGCGUUUACCUCUUUCUUUUAGAAGACACUGUUGCACAAACAAUAUGCUGAUUCAGGUCUACACAAUCACUGGUAUAAUCAGGCUGUAUAGUUAAUUACAUUUGCUCUUACUCAGUACAUUUAUUAGCUAGCGAUUAGCAUUAGCGGCUAACAAGAUUUAGGAUCAACUUACUAAGACAAACUAGCUAUUUGCAGAUGUAAGAAAGAAACGCUAAUAGUGUAAUUAUAGAAUGCUAAUAGAUUUAUAUUAAAAAGCAAAGUGACAUCUGCAUCGUUGUCAACCGUGUUUGUAACGUUAGCUCCCUCAAGUAACCACGAGCACAACCGUUCCUUGAUUUUAACUGGCAGCUUUAUUCUGGAGUUUUAGUCAGAAUUUUCACCUUCCGUGAGAACUAUAAAGUAAAUGAAAAUACACUUAAGCACAUUCUUACAACCUUCUUGUUUUACAAGUGACUUAUUAGCUUGAUAUAACUCUGAAGCGCUUACAAUCAUAAACAGUUUAGCUGGAGCUAUAACAGUAUCAGAUUAAACACAUGAAUAAAGGGAAAAUACCUCAUUGGCUACUUAUUACAGAAGGAAGGAAAUCAAAAACUUGAAUUCACGCUUCAUCCUUAAUUAUUAUAACGUUACCAUCCUAACAUACACACUUCAACCUUUACGAACGACACCCGAAGACAUUAACAUUUUGCUAACACAGCGCGGGAUUGCAUUCACUCCAAAGGUGUGUUGCUACGAUAAUAAUCCCCGUUACAACAGUUCUUAUCCACGUAGUUCCGCUUGUUUUAUUAUUUCCCCCGCAUAGCGAACACGUAAACAAAAAACAACGACAUAGAUUUACAGGUUAAUUGACAGUGACAGUGUUGCAUGUGCUGCAUUGACCAGGCAGACUGAACACAAGUGUCUCGUGGUUGAGGAACAUCAAAUGCGCUCCUUGAGUGACAGGGGGCUUGUCUAGGUCUGUGUGGAAAGCGGAAAGCGGCAUAGAGAGAUGACUCAAGUAGCGAAGUAAACUAUAAAAUGGACGUUACACACUGCGUAUCACAUUUAACAAACCAAACAUUCAAAUACCGGCAUAGAAGGGAUGUGUCUGUUGAUCCUGGAGCACUGUCGCUGGUCGGUCAUCCAGAAGUUCCAAGCUAUCAUGAAGGGCCUCGCCGUGGAUGACCUCAUGUGUCACGUCCUGACCAGUGAAAAGGGUCAUUUGCCAUAGUAGAAUGGUCAGGGCGUGGCAGGGGGGUUGUUUUGUGUGUUUUGGGUUUUUUUGGUUCUAGGGGAAUUUGUUCUAGUUUUCUAUUUUUAUGUUUCGUUUUUCAUGUUUGGCCGAGUAUGGUUUCCAAUCAGAGGCAGCCUGUUUUUCUUUGGGUUUUGUGGGUGGUUGUUUUCCGUUUUGUCUGAGUACCUUACGGAACUGUUGGCUGUCGUUCUGUUAUUUUAAGUGUUCUCGUGAAAUAAAGUAAGAAUGAGCACUCUA